rnacentral:rRNA from 1 species
GAUGAACGCUAGCUACAGGCUUAACACAUGCAAGUCGCGGGGCAGCAUGGGGGUUGCUUGCAAUCCCCGAUGGCGACCGGCGCACGGGUGAGUAACGCGUAUCCAACCUGCCCUUCACCACGGGAUAACCCGGCGAAAGUCGGACUAAUACCGUAUGUUGUCCAUUGACGGCAUCCGAUUUGGACGAAAGGUUUGGCGGUGAAGGAUGGGGAUGCGUCCGAUUAGCUGGACGGCGGGGUGACGGCCCACCGUGGCGACGAUCGGUAGGGGUUCUGAGAGGAAGGUCCCCCACACUGGAACUGAGACACGAUCCAGACUCCUACGGGAGGCAGCAGUGAGGAAUAUUGGUCAAUGGGCGUAAGCCUGAACCAGCCAAGUAGCGUGCAGGAUGACGGCCCUAUGGGUUGUAAACUGCUUUUAUGCGGGGAUAAAGUGGCCCACGUGUGGGUUUUUGCAGGUACCGCAUGAAUAAGGACCGGCUAAUUCCGUG